ACUCCUGCGGGAGGCAGCAGUGGGGAAUUUUGGACAAUGGGCGAAAGCCUGAUCCAGCAAUGCCGCGUGUGUGAAGAAGGCCUUCGGGUUGUAAAGCACUUUUGUCCGGAAAGAAAUCCUUGGCUCUAAUACAGUCGGGGGAUGACGGUACCGGAAGAAUAAGCACCGGCUAACUACGUGCCAGCAGCCGCGGUAAUACGUAGGGUGCGAGCGUUAAUCGGAAUUACUGGGCGUAAAGCGUGCGCAGGCGGUUUGCUAAGACCGAUGUGAAAUCCCCGGGCUCAACCUGGGAACUGCAUUGGUGACUGGCAGGCUAGAGUAUGGCAGAGGGGGGUAGAAUUCCACGUGUAGCAGUGAAAUGCGUAGAGAUGUGGAGGAAUACCGAUGGCGAAGGCAGCCCCCUGGGCCAAUACUGACGCUCAUGCACGAAAGCGUGGGGAGCAAACAGGAUUAGAAACCCUGGUAGUCCCAUGAU
rnacentral:rRNA from 1 species